AGGUGCCGGGCUUCAGGGAAGUGUCAAGCAUCAUUUAGGGUGUGGGAAAAACAUUCUAAGAUGUUGAGGGCUGAAGCUGGGGUUUCCUGACUCCAGGGUUCCAGUCGCUCCUGGAAAAUCACACAGAGAAGUCUGAACAAAAUGUCAGGGCUCCAUGGGCCAGGAAUGAGCCCGGAACUGAGAUAAUUGACUAUUCAUCAUGGAAAAUGGAUGCAUACCCCCUUCUCAGAAUGGACCAGAGAUUAAAUACUUUUUUGCAGAUGGGAAUGUCCUGGAAGGUCAAUUCAAAGAAGAAUUUCAAAGGGAGAAAAAUGACUGGUCAAAAGAAGAAAAAAAUUCUUAUCAUAGAAGAGACAGAUUUACUUACCAGAGUCUAUCUGUUUGCAACUUUUUGGUGCUAAAACAGACUAUCUGAAGAUUGGAACGCCAUAAAACAAGCAAGCAAACAAACAAACAAAUAAACAAAUGCCUCUGGAAUCGUCUGGGUCACCCUUGCUGUCCUGAGCCACAUGCUAUGUCCAGGGGACUUCUAUCAUCCCUCUACCACUCUGCCCACCUUUGUCAGAUGUCCUAAUUUAGAAGGAAGCAUACAGCGAGGUGCAUACAUGCCUAUCGUCUGAGAAGCUCCACCCAAUGGCUGGCUCAGACAAAUGCAGAGACCCACAGCCAAUCAUUGGACAAUGCUCUCACAGAAGAACUGGGGGAAAGACCGAGAGCCCUGAAGCCGAGAGGAACUCCAAUAGAGUCAACUAACCUGGACCCUUGAGUUCUCUCAGAGAAUGG